GAGAGGAGUAAGUGGGAAAGGGAGAUAGAUCUAGAUGAAGUUGUUUGGAUGGGUGAUUUGGAAAGAAAAGUUUUGUGUAGAUACUUGAAAGAAAUUCUUUCCUAUUCCACCCAUCCCAUUGAUUUCCUCUGGCUCCUCCCCUUCCCUUUCUUUUCCUGUU
rnacentral:pre_miRNA from 1 species